ACGGUGGCGCAGUGGGUAGCGCUGUUGCCUUGCCUUGCAGCAAGAAGGUUCUGGGUUUGAUUCCCGGCCUAGGUU